rnacentral:rRNA from 1 species
GUGCCAGCAGCCGCGGUAAUACGUAGGGUGCAAGCGUUAAUCGGAAUUACUGGGCGUAAAGCGUGCGCAGGCGGUUUUGUAAGUCUGUCGUGAAAGCCCCGGGCUCAACCUGGGAAUUGCGAUGGAGACUGCAAGGCUUGAAUCUGGCAGAGGGGGGUAGAAUUCCACGUGUAGCAGUGAAAUGCGUAGAGAUGUGGAGGAACACCGAUGGCGAAGGCAGCUUCCUGGGUCAAGAUUGACGCUCAUGCACGAAAGCGUGGGGAGCAAACAGGAUUAG